rnacentral:snRNA from 1 species
AUACUCACCUGGCAGGGGAGAUACCAUGAUCACGAAGGUGGUUUGCCCAGGGCGAGGCUUAUCCAUUGCACUCUGGAUGUGCUGACCCCCGCGAUUUCCCCAAAUGUGGGAAACUCAACUGCAUAAUUUGUGGUAGUGGGGGACUGCAGGUGUCUGUCUUUCUCUCCCCCU